rnacentral:rRNA from 1 species
GUCGAGCGAACAGACGAGGAGCUUGCUCCUCUGACGUUAGCGGCGGACGGGUGAGUAACACGUGGAUAACCUACCUAUAAGACUGGGAUAACUUCGGGAAACCGGAGCUAAUACCGGAUAAUAUAUUGAACUGCAUGGUUCAAUAGUGAAAGACGGUUUUGCUGUCACUUAUAGAUGGAUCCGCGCCGCAUUAGCUAGUUGGUAAGGUAACGGCUUACCAAGGCAACGAUGCGUAGCCGACCUGAGAGGGUGAUCGGCCACACUGGAACUGAGACACGGUCCAGACUCCUACGGGAGGCAGCAGUAGGGAAUCUUCCGCAAUGGGCGAAAGCCUGACGGAGCAACGCCGCGUGAAUGAUGAAGGUCUUCGGAUCGUAAAACUCUGUUAUUAGGGAAGAACAAAUGUGUAAGUAACUAUGCACGUCUUGACGGUACCUAAUCAGAAAGCCACGGCUAACUACGUGCCAGCAGCCGCGGUAAUACGUAGGUGGCAAGCGUUAUCCGGAAUUAUUGGGCGUAAAGCGCGCGUAGGCGGUUUUUUAAGUCUGAUGUGAAAGCCCACGGCUCAACCGUGGAGGGUCAUUGGAAACUGGAAAACUUGAGUGCAGAAGAGGAAAGUGGAAUUCCAUGUGUAGCGGUGAAAUGCGCAGAGAUAUGGAGGAACACCAGUGGCGAAGGCGACUUUCUGGUCUGUAACUGACGCUGAUGUGCGA